rnacentral:rRNA from 1 species
UACGUAGGGUGCAAGCGUUAAUCGGAAUUACUGGGCGUAAAGCGUGCGCAGGCGGUUAUGCAAGACAGAUGUGAAAUCCCCGGGCUCAACCUGGGAACUGCCUUUGUGACUGCAAGGCUUGAGUGCGGCAGAGGGGGAUGGAAUUCCGCGUGUAGCAGUGAAAUGCGUAGAUAUGCGGAGGAACACCGAUGGCGAAGGCAAUCCCCUGGGCCUGCACUGACGCUCAUGCACGAAAGCGUGGGGAGCAAACAGG